rnacentral:rRNA from 1 species
AUUCCAGCUCCAAUAGCGUAUAUUAAAGUUGUUGCGGUUAAAAAGCUCGUAGUUGGAUUUCUGCCGAGGAUGACCGGUCCGCCCUGUGGGUGUGCAUCUGGCUCAGCCUUGGCAUCUUCCUGAAGAACGUAGCUGCACUUGACUGUGUGGUGCGGUAUUUAGGACAUUUACUUUGAGGAAAUUAGAGUGUUUCAAGCAAGCGCACGCUUUGAAUACAUUAGCAUGGAAUAAUAAGAUAGGACUUUGGUGGUCUAUUUUGUUGGUUUGCACACCAAGGUAAUGAUUAAUAGGGAUAGUUGGGGGUAUCCGUAUUUCGUAGUCAGAGGUGAAAUUCUUGGAUUUACGAAAGACGAACUACUGCGAAAGCAUUUACCAAGGAUGUUUUCAUCA